rnacentral:rRNA from 1 species
UACGUAGGGAGCAAGCGUUGUUCGGAUUUACUGGGCGUAAAGGGCGCGUAGGCGGCAAAUUAAGUCAGCUGUGAAAUCUCCGAGCUUAACUCGGAACUGUCAGCUGAUACUGAUCUGCUAGAGUGCGGAAGGGGCAAUCGGAAUUCUUGGUGUAGCGGUGAAAUGCGUAGAUAUCAAGAGGAACACCUGAGGUGAAGACGGGUUGCUGGGCCGACACUGACGCUGAGUGCGCGAAAGCGUGGGGAGCGAUCCGG